UGUUUUCAAAAUUGUUUUUCCUGAGUAGUGCAGAGGUAGGCGGAAUUCCCGGUGUAGCGGUGGAAUGCGUAGAUAUCGGGAGGAACACCAGUGGCGAAGGCGGCCUACUGGGCACCAACUGACGCUGAGGCUCGAAAGUGUGGGUAGCAAACAGGAUUAGAUACCCUGGUAGUCCACACUGUAAACGAUGAUUACUAGGUGUUGGAGGAUUGACCCCUUCAGUGCCGCAGUUAACACAAUAAGUAAUCCACCUGGGGAGUACGACCGCAAGGUUGAAACUCA
rnacentral:rRNA from 1 species